rnacentral:rRNA from 1 species
AAUAGAUACCCGGGUAGUCCACGCCGUAAACGAUGAGUGCUAAGUGUUAGGGGGUUUCCGCCCCUUAGUGCUGCAGCUAACGCAUUAAGCACUCCGCCUGGGGAGUACGGUCGCAAGACUGAAACUCAAAGGAAUUGACGGGGGCCCGCACAAGCGGUGGAGCAUGUGGUUUAAUUCGAAGCAACGCGAAGAACCUUACCAGGUCUUGACAUCCCACUGACCGCUAUGGAGACAUAGUUUUCCCUUCGGGGACAGUGGUGACAGGUGGUGCAUGGUUGUCGUCAGCUCGUGUCGUGAGAUGUUGGGUUAAGUCCCGCAACGAGCGCAACCCUUGAUCUUAGUUGCCAUCAUUUAGUUGGGCACUCUAAGGUGACUGCCGGUGACAAACCGGAGGAAGGUGGGGAUGACGUCAAAUCAUCAUGCCCCUUAUGACCUGGGCUACACACGUGCUACAAUGGACGGUACAAACGGUUGCCAACCCGCGAGGGGGAGCUAAUCCGAUAAAAUCGUUCUCAGUUCGGAUUGUAGGCUGCAACUCGCCUAC